UAAAGUUGCUUCUAUCUGGGUGCCCCACGGCUUCUCUCGUAUUGCUCGAUAUCCAUUUUUGUGUUUCUCUUGUCGUCUGUCACUGUCAGUCGCGAUGAACGCGACACCAUGCAGGUUCUGGUUUUCACCGUCCCGGUGUUUUUCCGUGGGCUGUUGACAAGACCGACCACCCUGCAAAUCUAACCAAUCUGUCACCGCAGUUUGUAUCCUAAACCGGAGCCUAAAAUUCGUGUUAUGCUAAGAGGGCAUACGUCUUCUUCCAUCAAGCGAGGGCAGCUAAUGUGUUGCUGCUACGAGGGCAUCACGGUGGCUUCAGACUCUGCUCAUUCCGCGAACUCCAGACAUGUAGGGACGUUCGAAAACUGUCCAUGCUUGACCAGAAAGAUCACCUUUGCUUGCAUGAUUUGCUCCGGUGCAUGUACAGAACCAUCACAAGCUUAUGCGCUGUCGACAGCUAAACCUAAAGCAU
rnacentral:lncRNA from 1 species